rnacentral:rRNA from 1 species
UACGAGGGGGGCAAGCGUUGUUCGGAUUUAUUGGGCGUAAAGGGUGCGUAGGCGGUUUGGCAAGUCUUAUGUGAAAUCUUCGGGCUCAACCCGAAGCCUGCAUAAGAAACUGCUGUGCUUGAGUGUGGGAGAGGCGCGUGGAAUUGCAGGUGUAGCGGUGAAAUGCGUAGAUAUCUGCAGGAACACCCGUGGCGAAAGCGGCGCGCUGGACCACUACUGACGCUGAGGAACGAAAGCUAGGGGAGCAAACAG